rnacentral:lncRNA from 1 species
CGAGACUGCAGAGGGAGUAGUGCGAUCCUGCGCGCGGGGGAACUAGCUGGAGGGCAAGGCGGGAACACGCCACUGUGAGCAUGCAUUUCAGGUUGUUGGCGCAGCUCUGCUCCAUGAUGUCGAUCUGAAACCCAGAUUUUCCUUCUCUUGCCACUGUCAUCUCCUGCAUGGCCAAAGCUAGGUCACCAUCAUAGUCAUGUUUCAGCCUAUGGGAAGGGGGAAAGACAAUAUUCAAGCAUCUAUUGUUGGGGUGAUCGGACCUAACACCAGGUUGUGGGGACAACGAAGUCCAGAAGAGUGAAAGGAAUGAGAAAAGACAGUUUGAGAGAGAAAGUGGGCCCAGGGGGCCAAUGCGAGUAUGGAGGCUGUGAAGGCCCCGAGCCCUGGAAGCCCAGACUAUUUAUUGGUGAUCAAACAAAGAAACAGGUGGUGAGAAUGUGGGGUUGAAAGGGAGCAUUGCAUUAAGCACAUGAUUUACAGCUGUGAUGGUUUAGCAUAUGCUCUGCUACUUGAGAUAAUGGAGAGCAGGUUCUUUUAACUCAAGAUACAAUAGAUCCUGGGAGAGCAGGGAGCAAGGAGCCAGCCAGCCUAGACACAUUCCAGAGGCCAUGAGCCCUGGAUUCUUUCCAAGCCACAAGGGGUUUUAUGCCCUGGGCUUAGAUUAUGGUGCAUCAGGGUAGCCUUCCACCCUUUGGCGCAGAGCUUGGUGUUCCAAAGGCCACGAGGGGUUUUAGACCCAGGAUCCCAGACAUAUUUCAAGACUUUUUUGUAUUAUGUCAGACAUGCAAGCCCUGCCUCAGCUUCUCUCCCAACACUCAGCUUUUCUCCCAACAUUUAUUAAAUAGCUCCUAUGUGCAAAGCAGUGUGCCGGGUACCUUAGUCACAGUGGGCACCAACAUUUAACCAGUCUCUGGCUACAUGAACCUUAGAAAUGCUUAGAUAAAAAAGGUACAUAUCAGCAGUUAUGUUAUAUAUAUAAAUUAUGUAAAUAAGUUAUUUUAUACCAAAAAAGUACGUAUUUUCCAGUGCAACUUAAUUAAUUGGUAUUCUGAUUUAUACAUCAAUCUAAGAUGACUUUGUUAAUAUGAGUCCACAAGAGGCUAUCUAGAUACGUGGGUUAAAUUGAGUUUCUACACCUGCUAAGCUGAGAGCCAAACUGUGGUGCUUGGAGACGCAUUAAAGGCACAAUCACUCUUGGCAGUGCUUCUGGGUGCUCAGCAGGCAUCUCACCCUAAGAACUCUAGGCCAUUCUGAUUCAUUUCAGUAGUAGGGAGCAAGUUUUUUUUUUUUUUUUUUGAGAUGGAGUCUCACUCUGUUGCCAGGCUGUCAGGCUGGGGUGCAAUGACACCAUCUCUGCUUACUGCAACCUCUGCCUCCCAGGUUCAAGCAAUUCUCCUGCCUCAGCCUCCCCAGAGUAGCUGGGACUACAGGUGCACGCCACCACACCCAGCUAAUUUUUGUAUUUUUAGUAGAGACGGGGUUUCACCAUGUUGGCCAGGAUGGUCUCAAUCUCGUGACCUUGUGAUCCACCCACCUCGGCCUCCCAAAGUGCUGGAAUUACAGGCAUGAGCCAUCGUGCCCGGCCGGGAGCAAGUUCUUAUACCCGUUCACAUAUACCACUACACAGAUGCCCUCACUGAAAAAUAUGAAAAAUAAACAUAGAGUUUUGUUUUUGUUUUAAAUAAUAAGAGGUGGGUAUGAGGGGGAUUUUUCAAAUUAGAAAUAUUGGCAUUAGAAGGUAGAUAUAAUUCAACAGUUAAAGAAAGUGUAAUUAAAAACCAUGAUUUACCCCGGGCCGAGGGUGAGGCAGGUCGGGCGUCCCCACACCGGGCCCGGGCACCGGGAGUGGGCGUCUGGGCAGCACCGGGUGAUGGCCCUGCUGCUGGUGCUCCUCGCCUCCUGGGGCCUUGGGCAAUGAGGGGGCCGGUGGGCGUGGGCUGAGUGGCCGUGGGCGCCAUGGAGUGGGUGCUGUACAAGUGGACCAACUAUCUGAGCAGUUGGCAGCCUUGAUGGUUCUUUCUCUGUAGGGGAAUAUUGUCCUAUUAUGAUUCUCCUGAAGAUGCCUGGAAAGGUUGCAAAGGGAGCAUACAAAUGGCAGUCUGUGAAAUUGAAGUUCAUUCUGUAGAUAAUACAUGCAUGGACCUGAUAAUCCCCGGGGAACAGUAUUUCUACCUGAAGGCCAGAAGUGUGCCUGAAAGAUAGCGGCGGCUGGUGGCCCUGGGAUCAGCCAAGGCUUGCCUGACUGACAGUAGGACCCAGAAGGAUAAAGAGUUUGCUGAAAACACUGAAAACUUGAAAACCAAAAUGUCAGAACUAAGACUCUGCUGUGACCUCCUUGUUCAGCAAGUAGAUAAAACAAAAGAAGUGACCACAACUGGUGUGUCCAAUUCUGAGGAGGGAAUUGAUGUGGGAACUUUGCUGAAAUCAACCUGUAAUACUUUUCUGAAGACCUUGGAAGAAUGCAUGCAGAUUGCAAAUGCAGCCUUCACCUCUGAGCUGCUCUACCACACUCCACCAGGAUCACCACAGCUGGCCAUGCUCAAGUCCAGCAAGAUGAAACAUCCUAUUAUACCAAUUCAUAAUUCAUUGGAAAGGCAAACGGAGUUGAGCACUUGUGAAAAUGGAUCUUUAAAUAUGGAAAUAAAUGGUGAGGAAGAAAUCCUAAUGAAAAAUAAGAAUUCCUUAUAUUUGAAAUCUGCAGAGAUAGACUGCAGCAUAUCAAGUGAGGAAAAUACAGAUGAUAAUAUAACCGUCCAAGGUGAAAUAAUGAAGGAAGAUAGAAUGGAAAACCUGAAAAAUCAUGACAAUAACUUGUCUCAGUCUGGAUCAGACUCAAGUUGCUCUCCAGAAUGCCUCUGGGAGGAAGGCAAAGAAGUUAUCCCAACUUUCUUUAGUACCAUGAACACAAGCUUUAGUGACAUUGAACUUCUGGAAGACAGUGGCAUUCCCACAGAAGCAUUCUUGGCAUCAUGUUGUGCUGUGGUUCCAGUAUUAGACAAACUUGGCCCUACAGUGUUUGCUCCUGUUAAGAUGGAUCUUGUUGAAAAUAUUAAGAAAGUAAAUCAGAAGUAUAUAACCAACAAAGAAGAGUUUACCACUCUCCAGAAGAUAGUGCUGCACGAAGUGGAGGCGGAUGUAGCCCAGGUUAGGAACUCAGCGACUGAAGCCCUCUUGUGGCUGAAGAGAGGUCUCAAAUUUUUGAAGGGAUUUUUGACAGAAGUGAAAAAUGGGGAAAAGGAUAUCCAGACAGCCCUGAAUAACGCAUAUGGUAAAACAUUGCGGCAACACCAUGGCUGGGUAGUUCGAGGGGUUUUUGCGUUAGCUUUAAGGGCAACUCCAUCCUAUGAAGAUUUUGUGGCCGCGUUAACCGUAAAGGAAGGUGACCACCGGAAAGAAGCUUUCAGUAUUGGGAUGCAGAGGGACCUCAGCCUUUACCUCCCUGCCAUGAAGAAGCAGAUGGCCAUACUGGACGCUUUAUAAGAGGUCCAUGGGCUGGAAUCUGAUGAGGUUGUAUGAUGGCUGCUGGGCAGCACCUCCUAACUUCAGGGAAUAAAGUGCUAAAGUGUAAAAAAAAAUAAAAAUAAAAAUAAAUAAAUAAAUAAAAUUAAAAAAAAUAAAAACCAUGAU